GAGCCGAGUNUUGAUAGCUUGCUUUCAAAACUCAGCGGCGGACGGCUGAGUACACGUGGGCAACCUGCCUGUAAGACUGGGAUAACUUCGGGAAACCGGAGCUAAUACCGGAUAAUCCUUUCCACCCCAUGUUGGGAAGCUGAAAGACGGCGCAAGCUGUCACUUACAGAUGGGCCCGCGGCGCAUUAGCUAGUUGGUGGGGUAAUGGCCCACCAAGGCGACGAUGCGUAGCCGACCUGAGAGGGUGAUCGGCCACACUGGGACUGAGACACGGCCCAGACUCCUACGGGAGGCAGCAGUAGGGAAUCUUCCGCAAUGGACGAAAGUCUGACGGAGCAACGCCGCGUGAGCGAAGAAGGCCUUCGGGUCGUAAAGCUCUGUUGUCAGGGAAGAACAAGUGCCGGAGUAACUGCCGGCACCUUGACGGUACCUGACCAGAAAGCCACGGCUAACUACGUGCCAGCAGCCGCGGUAAU
rnacentral:rRNA from 1 species